rfam:Oryza rufipogon genomic scaffold, chr06
CCUGGUUUUCAUAUCCAACGUUUGAACUUCCGUCUUAUUUAAAAAAAUUAUGAAAAAAAUAUAAAGACAAGUUACACAUAAAAUAUUACUAAUCAUAUUUUAUCAUCUAACAAUAAUGAAAAUACGAAUUAUAAAAAAAUUUUAUAUAACAUGGACAGUUGAAGUUGGACACGAAAACUUAGGUUUUGCCUUUUU